GCGGAAGUAGUUCAGUGGUAGAAUACAACCUUGCCAAGGUUGGGGUCGCGGGUUCGAGCCCCGUCUUCCGCU
rfam:Bacillus sp. FJAT-25509 super67, whole genome shotgun sequence.